rnacentral:rRNA from 1 species
AUUGAACGCUAGCGGCAUGCCUUACACAUGCAAGUCGAACGGCAGCACGGGUGCUUGCACCUGGUGGCGAGUGGCGAACGGGUGAGUAAUACAUCGGAACGUACCUUAUCGUGGGGGAUAACGCAGCGAAAGCUGUGCUAAUACCGCAUACGCCCUGAGGGGGAAAGCGGGGGAUCGCAAGACCUCGCGCGAUUAGAGCGGCCGAUGCCUGAUUAGCUAGUUGGCGGGGUAAAAGCCCACCAAGGCGACGAGCAGUAGCUGGUCUGAGAGGACGAUCAGCCACACUGGGACGGAGACACGGCCCAGACUCCUACGGGAGGCAGCAGUGGGGAAUUUUGGACAAUGGGGGCAACCCUGAUCCAGCAAUGCCGCGUGAGUGAAGAAGGACUUCGGGUUGUAAAGCUCUUUUGUCAGGGAAGAAACACCGGCUCUAACACAGUCCGGGAAUGACGGUACCUGAAGAAUAAGCACCGGCUAACUACGUGCCAGCAGCCGCAGUAA